rnacentral:misc_RNA from 1 species
UAUAUCAAAGAGUUUAUUUUUAAUAAUAAAUCUUGAAUAAGUCGAGCAAAAACAAUGAGAUAGAGGGAAAGUGAACGGAUUUAUAGAACUGUAGCAACAACCGUUAUUAGCUUGUUGCCAUAAAAAAAAGUGCAAGUUUGGAAUUCGCAAAAGCAAACGUAUGCUGCUACCCAAAGAGAACUGGAAAAAUCAAUUUAGAGCUCAACGGCUUAGAUGUGUGCAAAUAUCAUUUUCGGGAUUCAAAGGAGAAAGAAGAAGUCACAGCAGUUUGUUAAAUGGAGAAGAGAAUAUGGAUAAAUGGCUGUAUGAAAGCGCGCCUACAUCGUUACACGUGUAUCUGUGCAACUAUUAUAAUUAUUUUAUUACAAUAUAUUGUUAAAAUGUUGAAUUGUACUGGAAAAUGUUGAAUGUUUAAAUAUCAACUCGAUUAAGAUUCAUCAUUUACCAGAUCAUUACGAGAACAAUUCUAAGAAAACCUGGUUUCUCGGAUAAGUAGGAACCUAAGUUGUAAAAAUCUUCUAAUUAAUAAUCCGCACAUAAGCUACAAUUUAAAGGUUCGUUCUUUUUACUCAUCCAAAAUUAUAAAAACUAAAGAAACUCAAUUCCUAACUUCAUUUCUCAAAGAAGAGAAACAGAUAUGUACACAUAUAAAGAAAGUAAAAACGUAGGGACUUUUGUUUAGGAAGCUCAACGAUUUCUUCCAUAACCCAACUCUCGCUUUUCUCCUGUUAGGAAUCGAAGGGUUAACAAGAAAGGCAUGAAUCAAGGUUCUUGGCUGGUCCAGGAUGCAAAGGGUUCUUAGGACCAUAUGACUCAGCAAUCAUAUGGUUAGUGACGUCAGAGACCAGCAAAAUGAUCGAACUAGUAAAAGCAACGACCGAUAGAACAACACGGUGCACAGUUUACAUGGUAGAUGCGGUUGGUAUUAUUUAUCAAGAACACACAACGAAUAAUGCAGAUGAACGAAGCACGAAUGAGCUUAUUUUUUGAGUUUUUAGAGAUAAGAAACAUAAUACAAUCUAU